GUGCCAGCCGCCGCGGUAAUACGGAGGGUGCAAGCGUUAAUCGGAAUUACUGGGCGUAAAGCGUGCGUAGGCGGUUUAUUAAGUCAGAUGUGAAAGCCCCGGGCUUAACCUGGGAACUGCAUUUGAAACUGGUCAACUAGAGUAUGGUAGAGGAAAGUGGAAUUUCUGGUGUAGCGGUGAAAUGCGUAGAUAUCAGAAGGAACAUCAAUGGCGAAGGCAGCUUUCUGGACCAAUACUGACGCUGAGGUACGAAAGCGUGGGUAGCAAACAGGAUUAGAUACCCUGGUAGUCCACGCCGUAAACGAUGAUAACUAGCCGUUGGGGGGAUUUACCCUUUAGUGGCGAAGCUAACGCGUUAAGUUAUCCGCCUGGGGAGUACGGCCGCAAGGUUAAAACUCAAAUGAAUUGACGG
rnacentral:rRNA from 1 species